rnacentral:rRNA from 1 species
CCUACGGGUGGCAGCAGUGAGGAAUAUUGGUCAAUGGGCGCAAGCCUGAACCAGCCAAGUCGCGUGAGGGAAGAAGGCCCUACGGGUUGUAAACCUCUUUUGCCGGGGAGCAAGCCUGAGCACGCGUGCCCAGGCGGAGAGUACCCGGAGAAAAAGCAUCGGCUAACUCAGUGCCAGCAGCCGCGGUAAUACGGAGGAUGCGAGCGUUAUCCGGAUUUAUUGGGUUUAAGGGGUGCGCAGGCGGGCUGUUAAGCCGGCGGUAAAAAUACAGGGCGCAACCAUGUCGAGCCGUCGGAACUGGCGGUCGUGAGUGGGCGAGAAGUAUGCGGAAUGCGGGGUGUAGCGGUGAAAUGCAGA